UAGCCUUGGGAUUACCAGUUCUAUCAUAAGCUAAAUCUUGGCCACAGGGUCUGUUAGGUAUACACCACACUGUUUCUCCGGAAACUUAAGUGGCUUCCUUUGUGCAUCAGAGAUUUGGGGCAGAGCUGCUGCAAUGCUAGUGGCAGAAGGCAAUGAGAAAAAGGCAAUGUUAGCAAAGGAAAAAGAGGUCUUCACGUGUAUGAAGAGCAUAAGCACAUCACUUUGAGAUUCAUUUUGCUUUAUAUACUUAUUAAAACAUGGUAUUAGCUUCUCAGAAAACUCAAAAAGGCUAGAAUGGCACAGAACUUGAUCUGACGGUGUCUGAGGAGCAGCUACACCAGGAUUUUAAAAUAGCAAAAUGCUAGUCAGCUCUACUUGAAAAGCUAAAAGGAAUGCCCUAACAAGUGCCCACGCUCUCAACUUCCUUCCCAGAAGGCUCAUUUACAUUAUAAUGGUUGCCAAGGUUACUUUAAUUCCAUCACAGCUCCUUUCUCCAGUUGCUAAUCUGGAGCACCGGACUGGGUGGUACACAUUAACAACCAAAACCUCAAUUAAGGCUAACCCCAAACUCAGGCUACUCAAAAGCUCGUGACCUACAAAAAGAAGAGUAGUUCUAGUAACAAAAAUUGCAAAAAGACCCACACACCCACAGAAGACUCAGUAUGAGUCCUCCACGUAGGUACAGUAUUUCUGGAUCUUCCAAUCCUGGGCAGAUUCACACAUCGAGGAGUGUGUCCGUUAGUACCAAGAGGAACUGAACAUGGAAUUCUGCUUAACCAGCAACCUAGGAUGCAAACUCCUAAGAGAUAAUAAGAGAAUGACUUUUCCAUCCAAGCAUGAUAAGUACAUCAAACUGAAAAUGAUGCCCAGGAACAAGCAGUUCCAGAAACAGGAAUUCAAAUAAAAAUGGCUUUGUAACAUUCACGGUUGUGCAGACCUAACGGCAGCCUGUCUGUUUUUUGCUACAUUUCUGCCUCAGUUAAAAGUACCUUAAAGAGUAUACUUGUCCUUUCUCCUCAAAAUAUGGAAAAAACUACUCAAGUCUCAUGAAAAUCUUGAGUUCUUAGCAUUACUUGUUGAGUGUCAAUGUGCAUGUGUGUAUCUCUGUUGGGGGGUGGGUCCGGGGUGUACGUGGUUCUGUGAGGGGUAUCUCUGUGGGUAACUGUUGGGGACUCUCUAUGGAGAUACACGGAGUCUCUCUGUGGGUGUGGGUAUGGGUCUGUGUGUACGAAGGGUCUGGGUAGAGGGUUGUGAGGGGUUCUGUUUCAUGUAAGGGAUCUCUGGAUGUGUUUGUUUUUGUGUAUCUGUGCUCAUCUGUGUUUCUAGGACUCUGUGUCUAUCAAGUAUUUUAUUACAAGUCUUGUAACAAGCUUUAUUAUACAUAUCUACCCUUCCAAAAAACCGGAAAAUGAUUUUCCUGCCUCUCUACUCUGAGGUUUCAGAAAAGAAGCAUGAAAUAAGACCAACUGCCAAGCCAGUAUUACACAACAAAUAAAAAACUAAGGUUCUGGUGGGUACACACUAACACAGAACCAGAGUUGCCUGAGAUUGUGUAUUCCUAACAAGCUCCCAGGAGAUGUCAAUGCUUCUGGUCAUGGACCAGUUUGAGUAGCAAGGACCGAAAGGAUUCCAAACUUAAUAAACUGCCUCUAACUACACUUCCUAGGUAGAUUUUCCAGAGUAUCCUCUGCCGGCAUGUAUAUCACAUCAGCGUGAGCAUUCUACAUCUAAGAAAUUACCAUUUUGUUUUACAUACGCGUCUCUUGUGAGUUUGUUUUGAAUGAGCCUAAGAAGUGAAUGACCUCUAAGUGUACUAAAAAUGUGAAUUUCAGAACUUGUAAAGCUAGAACAUGGAAAUUUCAAAAAGGUUCUGCUACACUGUGAAACCUGUUGGGUAGGCAGCCAAGUACUUUUCCCAAGGUGAUACACCCCAUUUCAAUACUGAACUCUUCAAACUGCAAUGAUUCCUGCUUCCAGUAUUGCUCAUAUCACAUCAGACUGUAUUUAUUUAUUUUCAUAUCUAGAUUCCCUACCCUCUCCUUGAGAGCAAGAAUGAUAUUUUGCUGAUUUAAUAGUCCUACCACUUAGCAGUGUUUAGCUCACAGCACAUAAAAGGUUUUUUUGCACAAAAGUAGUUCACAAUACAUUAGGGGAGAUUAUUAGAGAAGUAUUCAGAAGUAGUAAAGGUGCUUCUCUGUUUCUAUAAUAUAGUCCAGCAAAGGUCCUAAAAAGGAAUUAGCAUUAGACCAAUCAUCUUUUUUCUUCCUUAUACAAACAAUAGGUAUGAAUAUAAUAAAAAUUCCUAUUCUAUUUCUGUCUCCCAAAGCAGAGUCACCCAAGACUAGACUCAGUCAAGCUUUAUCCAACAAUUUUAUUGAAGAAGACACUUUAUUUACCUGGUAGGAAGAGAAGUCUGUCUUUAACCUAGAGCAGGUAAUGUCUACCUUUGGAAGAUAGAAACAAAAAAAAUGAAAUGUGAAUGCACACAAUUAUGCAAUGAGGGCAAAAUUUCUUCUUCCUAUAAUCUCCUUCUCCCUAUUAUGUAUUCAGUUCCUGGCAAUGACUUAAAAAAAAUAAGUUGUCAUAUUGGAAAAGGACCACACAUUUUUCCAACUUAGUAUAACUGCAGAAGGGGAGUUCCUCUGUAGACCACUGCUGCAUAGGAUGUGUAUCUGAGGUAUCAUCGAGGCUCCAGAUUCUAUGAAAACAUAAAUCUAUAUCCACUAAACAAGAACAAACAUAAUUAUGCUUAUAAAUAUGUAAAAUUUGCUACAAUAGCAAGUGCUUCUAUGAAUUACUCAUUACAAGCACUUAGUACAAGGAUGGCAAAUUUUUAGUGCCAUUCUUGAGUUAAACAGUCUUCAAUCAGAAGUUACUUCUAUGUGUCCAGGUAAAAGUAAAGAAAUGAGAACAGUGAAGAAGGACAAGUUAAAGAGAAAAACAUAGAAAACAAACCCCAAAAAGUAAAGUAUUAAAUUUUAUUUGGGCACAAAUAGAUCUAUCUUACAUCACAAAGUAGUCCCUAUCUCGAGGUGCCUGGGUGGCUCAGUUAGUUGGACAUCCAACUUCAGCUCAGGUAAUGAUCUCACAGUUCAUGGGAUCAAGCCUCACAGUGGGCUCUGUAUUGAAAGUGCAGAACCUGCUUUGGAUUACCUCUCUCUCUCUCUC